CCAAAUUAACAGACCUUUUUCGCAGUCAAAAGGACGCUGUGGCAGGAGGUGCAGAUGAGGAAGGACCAGCAGCAUGGACAGGACAGCUGUUAAGGUCACUGAUGGAGAGAGACAGGUUGAUGAUGACUCUUGCAGUCAUAUUGAUGAGGAGGAGGAAGGAAAGCAGAACAAGAGGAGGAGGAGAAUGGAACCAGUACAAAAACAGUGAUGGCUGUACAAUCAGUAAGCAGAGGCAGGGUCCAGCACAGGGGAAGUGGAGCCAGGGAGAGUUGAAAGUGAGUACGUACACACACAAUCUCUAUUUUAUGGGACUGUAUUGUAGUUUUUGAUUAUCUGAGUGGGUAUGUGUGAGUAAUUGUAACAAUUUUAUCACUCCAACUGACUGUACACAUAACAUGCUGGUAGUUAGCAGUAUACUGUGACUUAUGUGUUCGAGAUUAGGUUUUGCUGACCUGGUUGUGUUUAGUGCAGUGGUGACUUGCUUAUACAACCUGAGGAGGCAGGUGUUAUCCUAAAGUUUCUUUUAGGUCUUCAGCAUAAUCUGAUUCUUUUCAAGUUCAUACCAUAAAAACACUACUAGAAUUAAAAUAACUGCAAAAAAUCCUGCUCGUGCACCAAGGGCACUCGCGUAAAAGGCCUCUCCAUCUUAAAGUCCCGGGCUGAAUUUCAGUCCCAGUACGUCCCUGCCUG